GCCUGGGUGGCUCAGUGGUUGAGCAUCUGCCUUUGGCUCAGGUCGUGAUCCCGGAGUCCUGAGAUCAAGUCUCACAUCAGGCU
rfam:Canis lupus familiaris chromosome X, whole genome shotgun sequence.